AUUGAACGCUGGCGGCAGGCCUAACACAUGCAAGUCGAACGGUAACAGGAAACAGCUUGCUGUUUCGCUGACGAGUGGCGGACGGGUGAGUAAUGUCUGGGAAACUGCCUGAUGGAGGGGGAUAACUACUGGAAACGGUAGCUAAUACCGCAUAACGUCGCAAGACCAAAGAGGGGGACCUUCGGGCCUCUUGCCAUCGGAUGUGCCCAGAUGGGAUUAGCUAGUAGGUGGGGUAACGGCUCACCUAGGCGACGAUCCCUAGCUGGUCUGAGAGGAUGACCAGCCACACUGGAACUGAGACACGGUCCAGACUGCUACGGGAGGCAGCAGUGGGGAAUAUUGCACAAGGGGCGCAAGCCUGAUGCAGCCAUGCCGCGUGUAUGAAGAAGGCCUUCGGGUUGUAAAGUACUUUCAGCGGGGAGGAAGGGAGUAAAGUCAAUACCUUUGCUCAUUGACGUUACCCGCAGAAGAAGCACCGGCUAACUCCGUGCCAGCAGCCGCAGUAA
rnacentral:rRNA from 1 species